GGGUUGUGAGGUUAAGCGACUAAGCGUACACGGUGGAUGCCCUGGCAGUCAGAGGCGAUGAAGGACGUGCUAAUCUGCGAUAAGCGUCGGUAAGGUGAUAUGAACCGUUAUAACCGGCGAUUUCCGAAUGGGGAAACCCAGUGUGUUUCGACACACUAUCAUUAACUGAAUCCAUAGGUUAAUGAGGCGAACCGGGGGAACUGAAACAUCUAAGUACCCCGAGGAAAAGAAAUCAACCGAGAUUCCCCCAGUAGCGGCGAGCGAACGGGGAGCAGCCCAGAGCCUGAAUCAGUGUGUGUGUUAGUGGAAGCGUCUGGAAAGGCGCGCGAUACAGGGUGACAGCCCCGUACACAAAAAUGCACAUGCUGUGAGCUCGAUGAGUAGGGCGGGACACGUGGUAUCCUGUCUGAAUAUGGGGGGACCAUCCUCCAAGGCUAAAUACUCCUGACUGACCGAUAGUGAACCAGUACCGUGAGGGAAAGGCGAAAAGAACCCCGGCGAGGGGAGUGAAAAAGAACCUGAAACCGUGUACGUACAAGCAGUGGGAGCACGCUUAGGCGUGUGACUGCGUACCUUUUGUAUAAUGGGUCAGCGACUUAUAUUCUGUAGCAAGGUUAACCGAAUAGGGGAGCCGAAGGGAAACCGAGUCUUAACUGGGCGUUAAGUUGCAGGGUAUAGACCCGAAACCCGGUGAUCUAGCCAUGGGCAGGUUGAAGGUUGGGUAACACUAACUGGAGGACCGAACCGACUAAUGUUGAAAAAUUAGCGGAUGACUUGUGGCUGGGGGUGAAAGGCCAAUCAAACCGGGAGAUAGCUGGUUCUCCCCGAAAGCUAUUUAGGUAGCGCCUCGUGAAUUCAUCUCCGGGGGUAGAGCACUGUUUCGGCAAGGGGGUCAUCCCGACUUACCAACCCGAUGCAAACUGCGAAUACCGGAGAAUGUUAUCACGGGAGACACACGGCGGGUGCUAACGUCCGUCGUGAAGAGGGAAACAACCCAGACCGCCAGCUAAGGUCCCAAAGUCAUGGUUAAGUGGGAAACGAUGUGGGAAGGCCCAGACAGCCAGGAUGUUGGCUUAGAAGCAGCCAUCAUUUAAAGAAAGCGUAAUAGCUCACUGGUCGAGUCGGCCUGCGCGGAAGAUGUAACGGGGCUAAACCAUGCACCGAAGCUGCGGCAGCGACGCUUAUGCGUUGUUGGGUAGGGGAGCGUUCUGUAAGCCUGCGAAGGUGUGCUGUGAGGCAUGCUGGAGGUAUCAGAAGUGCGAAUGCUGACAUAAGUAACGAUAAAGCGGGUGAAAAGCCCGCUCGCCGGAAGACCAAGGGUUCCUGUCCAACGUUAAUCGGGGCAGGGUGAGUCGACCCCUAAGGCGAGGCCGAAAGGCGUAGUCGAUGGGAAACAGGUUAAUAUUCCUGUACUUGGUGUUACUGCGAAGGGGGGACGGAGAAGGCUAUGUUGGCCGGGCGACGGUUGUCCCGGUUUAAGCGUGUAGGCUGGUUUUCCAGGCAAAUCCGGAAAAUCAAGGCUGAGGCGUGAUGACGAGGCACUACGGUGCUGAAGCAACAAAUGCCCUGCUUCCAGGAAAAGCCUCUAAGCAUCAGGUAACAUCAAAUCGUACCCCAAACCGACACAGGUGGUCAGGUAGAGAAUACCAAGGCGCUUGAGAGAACUCGGGUGAAGGAACUAGGCAAAAUGGUGCCGUAACUUCGGGAGAAGGCACGCUGAUAUGUAGGUGAAGCGACUUGCUCGUGGAGCUGAAAUCAGUCGAAGAUACCAGCUGGCUGCAACUGUUUAUUAAAAACACAGCACUGUGCAAACACGAAAGUGGACGUAUACGGUGUGACGCCUGCCCGGUGCCGGAAGGUUAAUUGAUGGGGUUAGCGCAAGCGAAGCUCUUGAUCGAAGCCCCGGUAAACGGCGGCCGUAACUAUAACGGUCCUAAG
rnacentral:rRNA from 1 species